rnacentral:lncRNA from 1 species
UGAGAACUUGAUUUUCGUUUCAUGCUUUCAUUUAUUUGGUUUUCUUUCGAUCAAUAACUAUGUUUACCUUUCACUUGAUUUUAAAUGAUUACAUUUGAUGUUCCUUUCUUUUUUUUUGAACCGAUUUUAUUUAUGUUUUGGUUACAAAAUAGGUAGAAAUCAAGUAUUUUAAAACCAAAGAACCGAUUUUAGUUACUUUUUGGUUACAAAGUAGAUAUAAAUUAGGUACAUUUAAACCGAAGAACCGAUUGGGACCCGAACCCGAAAGUACAUCGGGUUAUACCGGUUCUUUGAAGAUUUACUAAACCCGACCCGAACCCGAUAGAACCCGAACCGGUCCCGAACCGAAUUUUCAUAUAACCCGAAUGGGACUGAUUUUGAUAAACCCGAAAAACCGAAACCCGAUUGGACUAAACCGAAACCCGAUUGGGACCCCGAAUGCCCAGGCCUAG